rnacentral:rRNA from 1 species
AUUGAACGCUGGCGGCAUGCCUUACACAUGCAAGUCGAACGGGGCAGCAAUGCCUAGUGGCGGACGGGUGAGGAAUACGUAGGAAUCUGCCCAGUCGUGGGGGAUAACGCAGCGAAAGCUGCGCUAAUACCGCAUACGAUCUAUGGAUGAAAGCGGGGGACCGUAAGGCCUCGCGCGAUUGGAGCGGCCGAUGUCAGAUUAGGUAGUUGGUGGGGUAAAGGCUCACCAAGCCAACGAUCUGUAGCUGGUCUGAGAGGACGACCAGCAACACUGGGACUGAGACACGGCCCAGACUCCUACGGGAGGCAGCAGUGGGGAAUUUUGGACAAUGGGCGCAAGCCUGAUCCAGCCAUUCCGCGUGCAGGAUGAAGGCCCUCGGGUUGUAAACUGCUUUUGUACGGAACGAAAAGGCUCUGGUUAAUACCCGGGGCUCAUGACGGUACCGUAAGAAUAAGCACCGGCUAACUACGUGCCAGCAGCCGCGGUAAUAC